UACAGAGGUCUCAAGCGUUGUUCGGAUUCAUUGGGCGUAAAGGGUGCGUAGGCGGCGCGGUAAGUCGGGUGUGAAAUCUCGGAGCUUAACUCCGAAACUGCAUUCGACUACUGCCCGUGCUUGAGGACUGGAGAGGAGACUGGAAUUUACGGUGUAGCGGUGAAAUGCGUAGAUAUCGUAAGGAAGACCAGUGGCGAAGGCGGGUCUCUGGACAGUUCCUGACGCUGAGGCACGAAGGUCAGGGGAGCAAACGGG
rnacentral:rRNA from 1 species